UCAGGCGGACUUCGGCCGCCUCGAGAUCGAGCUGGCGGAGGUCGAGAUGCCCGGGCUCAUGGCCUGCCGCACCGAGUUCGGCCCGUCCCAGCCCUUCGCCGGCGCCAGGAUCUCGGGCUCCCUCCACAUGACCAUCCAGACCGCCGUCCUCAUCGAGACCCUCACCGCGCUCGGCGCCGAGGUCCGCUGGUGCUCCUGCAACAUCUUCUCCACGCAGGACCACGCCGCCGCCGCCAUCGCGCGGGACUCCGCCGCGGUCUUCGCCUGGAAGGGGGAGACGCUCGAGGAGUACUGGUGGUGCACCGAGCGCUGCCUCGACUGGGGCGAGGGCGGCGGCCCCGACCUCAUCGUCGACGACGGUGGUGACGCCACCCUCCUCAUCCACGAGGGCGUCAAGGCCGAGGAGGAGUAUGAGAAGUCCGGCAAGAUCCCCGACCCGGAGUCCACCGACAACGCCGAGUUCAAGAUCGUGCUCACCAUCAUCCGCGACGG
rnacentral:lncRNA from 1 species